rnacentral:rRNA from 1 species
GACGAACGCUGGCGGCGUGCUUAACACAUGCAAGUCGAACGGAAAGGCCCCUUUGGGGGUACUCGCGUGGCGAACGGGCGAGUAACACGUGCGUAACCUGCCCUUGCCUUCGGGUUAACUUCCGGAAACUGGGGCUAAUACCGGCUAGGAAUCCUUUCUGCCUGGAUGGGGUUGGAAAGCUUGGGGGGUUUUGGGUGGACUCGCGGCCUAUCUGUUUGUUGGUGGGGUAGUGGGUUACCUAGGCUUUGACGGGUAGCCGGCCUGAGAGGGCGACCGGCCACAUUGGGACUGAGAUACGGCCCAGACUCCUAAGGGAGGCAGCAGGGGGGAAUAUUGCACAAUGGGCGGAAGCCUGAUGCAGCAACGCCGCGGGCGGGAAGACGGGCUUCGGGUUGUAAACCGCUUUCAGCAGGUGCGAAGCUUGUGGUGACGGUACCUGGAGAAGAAGCACCGGCUAACUACGUG